rnacentral:rRNA from 1 species
UGGGGAAUAUUGCACAAUGGGCGCAAGCCUGAUGCAGCAACGCCGCGUGAACGAUGAAGGUCUUCGGAUCGUAAAGUUCUGUUGCAGGGGAAGAUAAUGACGGUACCCUGUGAGGAAGCCCCGGCUAACUACGUGCCAGCAGCCGCGGUAAUACGUAGGGGGCUAGCGUUAUCCGGAUUUACUGGGCGUAAAGGGUGCGUAGGUGGUCUUUCAAGUCGGUGGUUAAAGGCUACGGCUCAACCGUAGUUAGCCUCCGAAACUGGAAGACUUGAGUGCAGGAGAGGAAAGUGGAAUUCCCAGUGUAGCGGUGAAAUGCGUAGAUAUUGGGAGGAACACCAGUAGCGAAGGCGGCUUUCUGGACUGCAACUGACACUGAGGAACGAAAGCGUGGGUAGCAAACAGG